rnacentral:rRNA from 1 species
CCUACGGGCGGCAGGUGUGGGGAAUAUUGGACAAUGGGGGCAACCCUGAUCCAGCCAUGCCGCGUGUGUGAAGAAGGCCCUCGGGUUGUAAAGCACUUUCAGUGAGGAAGAACGCCUGGUGGUUAAUACCCAUCAGGAAAGACAUCACUCACAGAAGAAGCACCGGCUAACUCCGUGCCAGCAGCCGCGGUAAUACGGAGGGUGCGAGCGUUAAUCGGAAUUACUGGGCGUAAAGCGCGCGUAGGUGGCUUGAUAAGCCGGUUGUGAAAGCCCCGGGCUCAACCUGGGAACGGCAUCCGGAACUGUCAAGCUAGAGUGCAGGAGAGGAAGGUAGAAUUCCCGGUUUAGCGGUGAAAUGCGUAGAGAUCGGGAGGAAUACCAGUGGCGAAGGCGGCCUUCUGGACUGACACUGACACUGAGGUGCGAAAGCGUGGGUAGCAAACAGGAUUAGAUACCCCUGUAGUC